CCUCCUGGUAGCUCAGUUGGUAGAGCGGUGGGACUGUAGAUCCAUAGGUCGCUGGUUCAAAUCCGGCCCAGAGGA